GGUGCGGUAGUUCAGCUGGUUAGAAUGCCGCCCUGUCACGGCGGAGGUCGAGGGUUCGAGUCCCUUCCGCACCGCCA
rnacentral:tRNA from 1 species